UUUCUUCUCCUAGCUAAGUUAAGGGUAGGUUGUGGAACAGCCGGUCGUUCCCACCGAGUGAAGAGAGCCCCCUACCCCCCGAGGACCAGACAAAGCCGCCGUUCCUUUUCGGUCAGUUCCCGCGGGGGACACCACCCCCCAACCACACCAGCCCCUGCUUGAUGCACGACACGAACGCUCGAGAAGGCUUGCCCCCCGCGAAUGCCCCCGCGCCGCCAUUGCGCUCAAAGGUUCGCUGAUUUCACCACCUUUUGCAAUUUCACAUUACUAUCGCAUUCGCUGCUUUUUAUCGAGCGAACCAAGCUCCAUUGUGAGAAGUUUUGACAAUCUUUCACACGUACUCAGACAGCCAUCUUCAUCAGUUCACAAGCGUUGCGCGGCCGGCGAGAACUGUCGUCCCCGCAACCAGUGCCCCGUGGGCCCGCCAAGCACAGUGUAAGAGACAAGGUGGAGGUUGGGCCGCGAGGGCCCCCCCUUCGGUAAUGCUUCUCCUCGAUAGUGUGGUUGCGGAAGGAUCAUUACCGAGUGCGGGCCCUCGCGGCCCAACCUCCCACCCUUGUCUCUAUACACCUGUUGCUUUGGCGGGCCCACCGGGGCCACCUGGUCGCCGGGGGACGCACGUCUCCGGGCCCGCGCCCGCCGAAGCGCUCUGUGAACCCUGAUGAAGAUGGGCUGUCUGAGUACUGUGAAAAUUGUCAAAACUUUCAACAAUGGAUCUCUUGGUUCCGGCAUCGAUGAAGAACGCAGCGAAAUGCGAUAAGUAAUGUGAAUUGCAGAAUUCCGUGAAUCAUCGAAUCUUUGAACGCACAUUGCGCCCCCUGGCAUUCCGGGGGGCAUGCCUGUCCGAGCGUCAUUUCUGCCCUCAAGCACGGCUUGUGUGUUGGGUGUGGUCCCCCCGGGGACCUGCCCGAAAGGCAGCGGCGACGUCCGUCUGGUCCUCGAGCGUAUGGGGCUCUGUCACUCGCUCGGGAAGGACCUGCGGGGGUUGGUCACCACCAUGUUUUACCACGGUUGACCUCGGAUCAGGUAGGAGUUACCCGCUGAACUUAAGCAUAUCAAUAAGCGGAGGAAUCAUUACCGAGUGCGGGCCCUCGCGGCCCAACCUCACCUUGUCUCUAUACCCUGUGCUUUGGCGGGCCCACAGGGACACUGGGUCCAGGGGACACACUUCUCGGUCGCCGCGAGGCGCUCUGUGUAACUGAAUCGAAGAUGGGCUGAUCUGAGUACAUGUGAAAAUUGUCAAAACUUUCAACAAUGGAUCUCUUGGUUUCGGCAUCGAUGAAGAACGCAGCGAAAAUGACGUAUAAGUAAUGUGAAAUUGCAGAAUGUCGUGAAUCAUCAAAUCUUUGAAGGCCCAUUGCGCCCGUGGCAUUCGCGGGGGGCAAUAGCUGGUCACUAGCUUAUCUGCUGCCUCAACGUCGGCUUGUUGUGGUGGGUGGGGGGAUCCCCGGGGAUCAUCCACAUAACGUUCUUGCUCAGGAAUGGGGCAUCGUGAAAGACUGCGGUGUGUUACGACGGAAGUAACCUAAUAGCCGAUCAUAGGAAAA
rnacentral:rRNA from 1 species